AGAGUUUGAUCCUGGCUCAGGAUGAACGCUAGCGGCAGGCCUAACACAUGCAAGUCGAACGGUAACAGAAGGAGCUUGCUCUUUGCUGACGAGUGGCGAACGGGUGCGUAACGCGUAUGCAACCUACCUUUAACUGGGGAAUAGCCUUUAGAAAUGAAGAUUAAUACUCCAUAACAAUACGAGAUCUCAUGAUCAUGUAUUUAAAACUCCGGUGGUUAAAGAUGGGCAUGCGUGACAUUAGCUAGUUGGUGAGGUAACUGCUCACCAAGGCUACGAUGUCUAGGGGGCCUGAGAGGGUUAUCCCCCACACUGGUACUGAGACACGGACCAGACUCCUACGGGAGGCAGCAGUGAGGAAUAUUGCGCAAUGGACGAAAGUCUGACGCAGCCAUGCCGCGUGAAGGAUGAAUGCCCUCGUGGUUGUAAACUUCUUUUAUAUAGGAAGAAAGAUAAGUACGUGUAUUUAUUUGACGGUAGUAUAUGAAUAAGCAUCGGCUAACUCCGUGCCAGCAGCCGCGGUAAUACGGAGGAUCCAAGCGUUAUCCGGAAUCAUUGGGUUUAAAGGGUCCGUAGGUGGAUAAUUAAGUCAGAGGUGAAAUCCUGCAGCUCAACUGUAGAAUUGCCUUUGAUACUGGUUAUCUUGAGUUAUUAUGAAGUAGGCGGAAUAUGUCAUGUAGCGGUGAAAUGCAUAGAUAUGACAUAGAACACCGAUAGCGAAGGCAGCUUACUAAUCUAUAACUGACGCUGAGGCACGAAAGCGUGGGGAGCGAACAGGAUUAGAUACCCUGGUAGUCCACGCCGUAAACGAUGAUCACUCGUUGUUGGCGAUACAUAGUCAGCGACCAAGCGAAAGUGAUAAGUGACCCACCUGGGGAGUACGUUCGCAAGAAUGAAACUCAAAGGAAUUGACGGGGGCCCGCACAAGCGGCGGAGCAUGUGGUUUAAUUCGAUGAUACGCGAGGAACCUUACCAGGGCUUAAAUGUAGAUUGACUGGUUUAGAUAUAGACUUUUCUUCGGACAAUUUACAAGGUGCUGCAUGGUUGUCGUCAGCUCGUGCAGUGAGGUGUCAGGUUAAGUCCUAUAACGAGCGCAACCCCUGUUGUUAGUUGCCAGCGAGUCAUGUCGGGAACUCUAACAAGACUGCCAGUGCAAACUGUGAGGAAGGUGGGGAUGACGUCAAAUCAUCACGGCCCUUACGUCCUGGGCUACACACGUGCUACAAUGGCCGGUACAGAGGGCAGCCACUGGGUGACCAGGAGCCGAAUCUAUAAAACCGGUCUCAGUUCGGAUCGGAGUCUGCAACUCGACUCCGUGAAGCUGGAAUCGCUAGUAAUCGGAUAUCAGCCAUGAUCCGGUGAAUACGUUCCCGGGCCUUGUACACACCGCCCGUCAAGCCAUGGAAGUUGGAAGUGCCUGAAGUCCGUCACCGUAAGGAACGGCCUAGGGUAAAGUCGAUCCACCUGGGGCUAAGUCGUAACAAGGUA
rnacentral:rRNA from 1 species